UAGCAGUCUAGCAAGUAUGCUAAAGAUUAUACAUUUUAUCCAGACGCUCAGAGAUGCUGGAUUUGAUGAGGUUAUCGCCGAGGAUAGGACUGAUCAGUUCUCCAAAGUUCUGGAAAGAGAACUAAACGCAGUCGAGAAGGAAAAGGAAAGAUUCAUUACAGACUUCUCUGAGGAAGAUUACGAUGCCAUAGUUGGUGGAUGGAAGUCCAAGUUGGAAGAUUAACGACCGUCUUCGCUCCUACCGAUAACGCGUUCCAGAACCUGAUACCGGGCUAC